GGCAACUUGGAGAACUUCCUCCUAUUCUUUAGGGCUGAUCUCACAGCAAACUAUAGAACCAUUGGGAGGCCGAGGUGGGCGGAUCACGAGGUCAGGAGUUCGAGACCAGCCUGGCCAACACAGUGAAACCCCAUCUCUACUAAAAAUAUAAAAAUUAGCUGGGCAUGGUGGCAGGCACCUGACACAACUUAGUACUUUUUUUUGAGACAGAGUCUUGCUCCAUUGCCUAGGCUGGAGUGCAGUGGUGUGAUCAUGGCUGACUGCAAGCUCCACCUCCUGGGUUCACGCCAUUCUCCUGCCUCAGCCUCCCGAGUAGCUGGGAUUACAAGUGCCCGACACCACGCCCAGCCAAUUUUUUGUAUUUUUAGUAGAGAUAGGGUUUCACCAUGUUAGCCAGGAUGGUCUCGAUCUCCUGACCUCAUGAUCCACCUGUCUCGGCCUCCCAAAGUGCUGGGAUUACAGGUGUGAGCCACCACGCCUGGCCAGCUCAAGCUCUUCCUCACAUGAUAGAGAACUACUUUGAGGAGGCUGUGGGAAUCACAUGUCUGUUGCUAACUUGAGUUCAGCCUUCUCUGUACUUACUUAUUCUCUUGACCUUGGGCUGUGCUGUCAAUUUUUUCUUUUCUGAGGGUUUUUUGAAAUGAACAUAAAAGGAAAUCCUUUCAAGACUGUUCAGAUCCUUGCUAUGCAAAAAUUGCAUUUGAAAGAGGUCUUAGAUAUGAUCUAAUGCAAUUCCCAAACUUUAUGUGGA
rnacentral:lncRNA from 1 species